UGCAGCAUGGCUUAGUAGGUUAAAAUGCCUGUCUAGAAAACAUGAGGUCCUGGGUUCGAAUCCUAGUGGUGCCU